UCGGUCUCUGUGGGUGUGCCGGACGCCUCUGGCAGGACUAACCCCGGGGCUUUUAUGUCCACCGUGCUGUGCUGUGUGUGCCUGCAGCAUCCUGUCCAAGACCAAGCUACCUUUCCUCGUGGGAAUGGACUGGCCGGGCUUUGGCAAUCUGGCCCCUCGAAAGUCUUAAGUGACCUCUUCCAGCAGGGGAAGACUGAAGCAAGGGGUGCCAGAAAGAACUGGAGUUUCUGGAGAAUAAAAGCUGGAAGCGUGCCCCCGAAAAUCCCCAGCCCCGGGUGGUCAGUGGUCUGACUUGCACGGACCGGUGGCCUUGGCCAGGAGCGGUCCUGUGGGAAGCGGCUUUGCCCAGCCUGUAAUUUUAAUUUCCAUUGGCUGCUUGGCAAAGCCCCCCUGGGUGAGCCCCAGUGCCUGGCAUGAGCGGAGCGGGCUUCCAGGGAGGUAUUCAGCUGGUCAGCAUCAGGAACCAUACUAACUGAGGCCUCGGCUCCCUCUUUCCCUUCGGUUGCCAUGGGUGUGCCGGACACCUCUGGCAGGACUAACCCUGUGGCUUUUAUGUCCAACGUGCUGUGUGUGCCUGCAGAAUUGCCACGAGAGGAAAUACUUCAGAGGGGCUCCCCUCCAGAUAAGCCCUGAAUAUGCCAGGAGGUUUCAGCUGGGAGGAAAGGAGCUGUGGAAGAAAAGCAGCCUAAAAAUAGCCAGCGGGGAUCAUCAGGUUUUCCAGGCAAGAAGAACAAGGAGAGAGAUGAGGGAAUCGGGUUCCAAUUCCUAAUGAUUUGGUGGGUGCAGGAAUGAUUUCUGUGUGUUUUCCAGUCCCUUUUGAUUCCUGAGAUGAUUUUAAAAUGAUGGCUUUAGCAAUCAACUAAAUCGGAGAUGUUGUUUUUGAGAGGAAAUGAUGCCAAAUAAAUGCAGAGUUUUGGGUCAGUUUUUGG